rnacentral:rRNA from 1 species
UACGUAGGGUGCGAGCGUUAAUCGGAAUUACUGGGCGUAAAGCGUGCGCAGGCGGUUCGUUGUGUCGGCGGUGAAAGCCCCGGGCUCAACCUGGGAAUGGCCGUUGAAACUGGCGAACUGGAGUGUGGCAGAGGGGGGGUGGAAUUCCGCGUGUAGCAGUGAAAUGCGUAGAGAUGCGGAGGAACACCGAUGGCGGAAGGCAGCCCCCUGGGCUGACACUGACGCUCAGGCACGAAAGCGUGGGAGCAACAGG